rnacentral:rRNA from 1 species
UGGGGAAUAUUGCACAAUGGGCGCAAGCCUGAUGCAGCCAUGCCGCGUGUGUGAAGAAGGCCUUCGGGUUGUAAGGCACUUUCAGCGAGGAGGAAGGUGGUGAGCUUAAUACGCUCAUCAAUUGACGUUACUCGCAGAAGAAGCACCGGCUAACUCCGUGCCAGCAGCCGCGGUAAUACGGAGGGUGCAAGCGUUAAUCGGAAUUACUGGGCGUAAAGCGCACGCAGGCGGUUCGUUAAGUCAGNUGUGAAAUCCCCGGGCUCAACCUGGGAACUGCAUUUGAAACUGGCAAGCUAGAGUCUCGUAGAGGGGGGUAGAAUUCCAGGUGUAGCGGUGAAAUGCGUAGAGAUCUGGAGGAAUACCGGUGGCGAAGGCGGCCCCCUGGACGAAGACUGACGCUCAGGUGCGAAAGGCGUGGGGCAGCAAACAGGAUUAGAUACCCUGGUAGUCCACGCUGUAAACGAUGUCGAUUUUGGAGGUUGUGCCCUUGAGGCGUGGCUUCCGGAGCUAACGCGUUAAAUCGACCGCCUGGGGAGUACGGCCGCAAGGUUAAAACUUAAAUGAAUU